rfam:Myotis davidii contig194317, whole genome shotgun sequence.
GGAAGCUCUCGGGUGACGACGCACCCAGAAUCGGCUCCCUCCUCUCUGGUUCUGGGGUGCGUCACCCAAGAACAACC